GCAUAGUAGCCGAGUGGGUAAAGCGCUUUAUAUACUCGGUACCGGAGGUCGAUGGUUCGAAUCCAUCCUGGAGCA